rnacentral:rRNA from 1 species
UACGAAGGGGGCUAGCGUUGCUCGGAAUCACUGGGCGUAAAGCGCACGUAGGCGGAUUGUUAAGUCAGGGGUGAAAUCCUGGAGCUCAACUCCAGAACUGCCUUGAUACUGGCGAUCUCGAGUCCGGGAGAGGUGAGUGGAACUGCGAGUGUAGAGGUGAAAUUCGUAGAUAUUCGCAAGAACACCAGUGGCGAAGGCGGCUCACUGGACCAUUUCUGACACUGAGGUGCGAAAGCGUGGGGAGCAAACAGG